rnacentral:rRNA from 1 species
AUUGAACGCUGGCGGCGUGCUUAACACAUGCAAGUCGUGCGGUAACAGGCGUAGCAAUACGUGCUGACGAGCGGCGAACGGGUGCGUAAUACAUGGGAAUCUGCCCUUUAGUGGGGAAUAACCCGGCGAAAGCCGGGCUAAUGCCGCAUAAGAUCUUCGGAUGAAAGCGGGGGAUCGUAAGACCUCGCGCUGAUGGAUGA